GUAAUUGUGGCCUUCCAUUUUCUUGACGCCAAGAAACAUUGAGGAAACCUCAUGCAUCUACUGCUCGUUUCGUUGGCUUUAUUGAUCUAAAACCGGUUCAGAUGACAAUGGAAUGUUGUGGUUCAGAGAAGCAUAUUACAUUGGUUGCACUGGUUAAGAUGACAAUGGAAUGCGUCCGGCACAUGAUCAAGAACCAUGAAGAUUGGACUGCAGUUUAUCUCAUUUGACAUCGCUGCCCCGGUGGCUUCGACAGAUUGCCGCCACUGUCCUGGCCCGGGGCGGGCUGGUGGUUGAACAGCAGGUGGCCGCCGCUGUCCCAGCACGGGGCGCGGGAGAGGCCGACAGCUGGUCCAUCGUUCGGUGAUGAGGUCAUUCGGUGACGCUCCAUUGCGGUGGGUUCAAGGUUCUGCGCAGGCGUGAUCCUCAUCUUUAUCCCCUUCGGCAAGGCUGACCAGUAGAUUGUUGUCCUUGACAGUGACUUUGACUGCUACAGUGCUCCCCCGUCGGCUCGCGGGUGGCACUUAUUUUUUCUCGGUAUAUUUGUAGAGAAAAUGAGCUGAUGUGUCUUUAAACCGAGGUACACAUAUCCUCUACCUAACACAUUCUGUACUUUAUCUUUUUCCGCUGGAAUUUUGAAUGCAUAUGGUUUUGUUUUUAGUGUUCAUAUAGUUCAUAUUUUUUCCUUCCACUGUUUGUGUUCACAGUUCACAAAUGGGUUCAUGCAGUUGCGUAUUCUUGCUUACACUAAUUUGCUGCAGCUAUGUUAUCUGCAAGAAGUACUAUUGCAUCCAUGUGUCUUAAGGAGUGUCAAACAGAAACAUCAGCGUGUAUUGUCUCCAGUUUGAAGCUUAACGGCUUAUUGGCUUUCUCUUAUAUAUAUAGGAAAUACGGGAAAUUAAAUUAUUCUCUAGAUUUUUCCUUUUGUUUCUAUGGGGUUUUGAACAUGUCUUUCUUACAGGGGAUCACCAUGCCAGCAAUAGUUAUAUUGUAUGCUCCUAUGUUCACACCCUUUCCUAUUUAUAAGCUAUUGCAUUAUUCAUUUUAAUUGGUACUCAGACCACGGAUUUGUGCCACCUUUUAUAAGCAUACUGCAAUAUAAAUUAUAAUGUUUAUAGUUGAAUGAUGUUUUAGUUUGGUUCUGAAACACCUCUUUGCUAUGCUUUCCUAUUGGUGUUUCUAAGGGGCUUCAGAUGCUUUGAGAUGUUUCAUUGCCUUCGAUGCUUUUUGGAAACUGAAACAUUUGUACCACAGCCUGUUGCCCCUGUCAGUUAUAAAAUAGGGGAUAACUUUCUGCUCGAAAAGAAAAUUUUAUGUCAGGUAGCAUAUUACAUCUGCUCCUAAGAAGCCAUUUCGUAAGCCUAUCGAAGUAUGUACUGUAGACCGAUGCUGGUAAAAAGAUAGAGCCAACAACAUCAUAGCUGGCGGAAAGAUCAGAGACAAGCAAGCUAGAAUGUGGAAUUAUUGAUGAGACUGUGCGACCAUCUCUACUUGGGGAAAAGGAUAUAUGCCCUGCAAUUCAAAGCCUCAGGCCUAUUGUUUUCUCAGUGUAAUUAAAAGUGCAACUUAUUAGCUUUGUUUAACAUAAACUCCGCAGAUGUAGCUACUUCUACUUUUCCUCAGGUUUUUACUCUCAUUAGGGUGUACAAAUUGAAGUUGGAGCCUUAAGCAAGCCUCGGUACUUUCCAACAGUGACCACUUUUAAGCCAAUGCAAUGAGCGCAGACAGUGACGUCGCCAGAGCCAGGUCCCCUCAGCUGACUUCUUCGACGAGCAGCCGGAGUCUUAGGUCCCCUCCUCUGAGGCUCUGACCCUGGAAGGCCUGCCCUCGCCUUUCUGUACCUUUCUGCUUCAGGACGCAUAUAGGUGUCUCCUUGGAGAAGCAUAUAGACAUGUAGGUGUCUCCUUGGAGAAGCAUAUAGACAUGUAGGUGUCUCCUUGGAGAAGCAUGUAGAGAAAAUGAGAAUGAUUGCAAUCAACGAAUGUUAGUUGCUAUAAUAUAUUCUCUCAUUUUUCUUGGUUGUAUAAAACAUUUGUUACUUUGUUUGUAAUUUCCUAUAGUUUAUUACCAUUUUCUCAUUUAUACAGGAA